AACGAACGUUGGCGGCGUGGAUUAGGCAUGCAAGUCGAGCGAGGACAGUCCUGUAGCAAUACAGGGCUGAGCCGAGCGGCGCAAGGGGCAGUAAGGCGUGGGUAACCUACCUCAGGGACGGGGAUAGCUACGGGAAACCGUGGGUAAUACCCGGCGAGAUGGCGGGAUCGCAUGGUUCGGCCAUGAAAUGAAUUUCGCCUUGAGAGGGGCUCACGUGGUAUUAGCUAGUUGGUGGGGUAAUGGCCCACCAAGGCCAAGAUGCCUAGCUGGUGUGGGAGCACGACCAGCGCCACUGGCACUGAGACACUGGCCAGACACCUACGGGUGGCUGCAGUCGAGAAUCUUCGGCAAUGGGCGCAAGCCUGACCGAGCGACGCCGCGUGUGCGAUGAAGGCCCUCGGGUUGUAAAGCACUGUCGAGGGGGAGAAAUCACUGAUCGAUCCCCUGGAGGAAGCACGGGCUAAGUUCGUGCCAGCAGCCGCGGU
rnacentral:rRNA from 1 species